UACAGAGGGUGCGAGCGUUAAUCGGAAUUACUGGGCGUAAAGCGCGCGUAGGCGGCUUUGCAAGUCGGGUGUGAAAUCCCCAGGCUUAACCUGGGAACUGCAUUCGAGACUGCAUUGCUAGAGUAUGGGAGAGGGAAGUGGAAUUUCCGGUGUAGUGGUGAAAUGCGUAGAUAUCGGGAGGAACACCAGUGGCGAAGGCGACUACCUGGCCUGUUCUUGACGCUGAGGCGCGAAAGCUAGGGGAGCAAACGGG
rnacentral:rRNA from 1 species